rnacentral:rRNA from 1 species
GGGCCCGCACAAGCGGUGGAGCAUGUGGUUUAAUUCGAUGAUACGCGAGGAACCUUACCAGGGCUUAAAUGUAAGUUGCAUUAGUUAGAGAUAGCUAUUUCUUCGGACUACUUACAAGGUGCUGCAUGGUUGUCGUCAGCUCGUGCCGUGAGGUGUCAGGUUAAGUCCUAUAACGAGCGCAACCCCUGUUGUUAGUUGCCAUCGAGUCAUGUCGGGAACUCUAACAAGACUGCCGGUGCAAACCGUGAGGAAGGUGGGGAUGACGUCAAAUCAUCACGGCCCUUACGUCCUGGGCUACACACGUGCUACAAUGGCCGGUACAGAGAGCAGCCACUACGCGAGUAGGCGCGAAUCUUCAAAGCCGGUCUCAGUUCGGAUUGUCGUCUGCAACUCGACGGCAUG